CCGGCGAUUGCGUUAAAGAUGGCGAAGUUUGCUGUGUUGACUGUACACAAAGUUAUAUAGGGAUAUAGCCUUUUGAGGAAAAAUGUAAUUCAUUAAGAAUUAUGAUGUGCUUCCUGAAGAAGAAAAAGAAAGUAUUAGCAGAAUCAGAUAUUUUGUGUCAUUUUGCAUGUGUCACACAAUUUCUAGACACUCAAAUCUAUCUUCAAAUUUUGUGUGACAAGUGGAAUAAAAUACAAUGAAGAAUAUAUUAAAAUAAAUGAAGUUCGGUUACAUCUGUGAAACGUCGACAAGAGUGAAACACCUAUUUUACAAUUUCAUACAAAGUAAAAAGUAACACUAAAUAUUUAUUUUUGUCACUAUUGAAAAUAUACUUCAGGGUAUAUUAUUUUUA